rnacentral:tRNA from 1 species
AGGCCCUUGUUUUGGAAACACAUGAUUUUGAAAGUCAUUAAAAGGGGUUCAACUCCUCUAGGGCCUU